UACGUAGGCAGCGAGCGUUGUUCGGAUUUACUGGGCGUAAAGGGUGUGUAGGCGGUUGUUUAAGUUUGGUGUGAAAUCUCCCGGCUCAACUGGGAGGGUGCGCCGAAUACUGAAUGACUUCGAGUGCGGGAGAGGAAAGUGGAAUUCCUGGUGUAGCGGUGAAAUGCGUAGAUAUCAGGAGGAACACCGGUGGUGUAGACGGCUUUCUGGACCGUAACUGACGCUGAGACACGAAAGCGUGGGUAGCAAACAGG
rnacentral:rRNA from 1 species